UACAGAGGUCCCAAGCGUUGUUCGGAUUCACUGGGCGUAAAGGGUGCGUAGGCGGUCGGGUAAGUCUGAUGUGAAAUCUCACAGCUUAACUGUGAAACUGCAUUGGAUACUAUCCGGCUCGAGGAAUGGAGGGGAGACUGGAAUACUUGGUGUAGCAGUGAAAUGCGUAGAUAUCAGGAGGAACACCGGUGGCGAAGGCGGGUCUCUGGGCCAAUACUGACGCUGAGGAGCGAAAGCGUGGGGAGCGAACAGG
rnacentral:rRNA from 1 species